rnacentral:rRNA from 1 species
CGGGACACGUGGUAUCCUGUCUGAAUAUGGGGGGACCAUCCUCCAAGGCUAAAUACUCCUGACUGACCGAUAGUGAACCAGUACCGUGAGGGAAAGGCGAAAAGAACCCCGGCGAGGGGAGUGAAAAAGAACCUGAAACCGUGUACGUACAAGCAGUGGGAGCACGCUUAGGCGUGUGACUGCGUACCUUUUGUAUAAUGGGUCAGCGACUUAUAUUCUGUAGCAAGGUUAACCGAAUAGGGGAGCCGAAGGGAAACCGAGUCUUAACUGGGCGUUAAGUUGCAGGGUAUAGACCCGAAACCCGGUGAUCUAGCCAUGGGCAGGUUGAAGGUUGGGUAACACUAACUGGAGGACCGAACCGACUAAUGUUGAAAAAUUAGCGGAUGACUUGUGGCUGGGGGUGAAAGGCCAAUCAAACCGGGAGAUAGCUGGUUCUCCCCGAAAGCUAUUUAGGUAGCGCCUCGUGAAUUCAUCUCCGGGGGUAGAGCACUGUUUCGGCAAGGGGGUCAUCCCGACUUACCAACCCGAUGCAAACUGCGAAUACCGGAGAAUGUUAUCACGGGAGACACACGGCGGGUGCUAACGUCCGUCGUGAAGAGGGAAACAACCCAGACCGCCAGCUAAGGUCCCAAAGUCAUGGUUAAGUGGGAAACGAUGUGGGAAGGCCCAGACAGCCAGGAUGUUGGCUUAGAAGCAGCCAUCAUUUAAAGAAAGCGUAAUAGCUCACUGGUCGAGUCGGCCUGCGCGGAAGAUGUAACGGGGCUAAACCAUGCACCGAAGCUGCGGCAGCGACGCUUAUGCGUUGUUGGGUAGGGGAGCGUUCUGUAAGCCUGUGAAGGUGUACUGUGAGGUAUGCUGGAGGUAUCAGAAGUGCGAAUGCUGACAUAAGUAACGAUAAAGCGGGUGAAAAGCCCGCUCGCCGGAAGACCAAGGGUUCCUGUCCAACGUUAAUCGGGGCAGGGUGAGUCGACCCCUAAGGCGAGGCCGAAAGGCGUAGUCGAUGGGAAACAGGUUAAUAUUCCUGUACUUGGUGUUACUGCGAAGGGGGGACGGAGAAGGCUAUGUUGGCCGGGCGACGGUUGUCCCGGUUUAAGCGUGUAGGCUGGUUUUCCAGGCAAAUCCGGAAAAUCAAGGCUGAGGCGUGAUGACGAGGCACUACGGUGCUGAAGCAACAAAUGCCCUGCUUCCAGGAAAAGCCUCUAAGCAUCAGGUAACAUCAAAUCGUACCCCAAACCGACACAGGUGGUCAGGUAGAGAAUACCAAGGCGCUUGAGAGAACUCGGGUGAAGGAACUAGGCAAAAUGGUGCCGUAACUUCGGGAGAAGGCACGCUGAUAUGUAGGUGAAGUGAUUUACUCAUGGAGCUGAAAUCAGUCGAAGAUACCAGCUGGCUGCAACUGUUUAUUAAAAACACAGCACUGUGCAAACACGAAAGUGGACGUAUACGGUGUGACGCCUGCCCGGUGCCGGAAGGUUAAUUGAUGGGGUCAGCGCAAGCGAAGCUCUUGAUCGAAGCCCCGGUAAACGGCGGCCGUAACUAUAACGGUCCUAAGGUAGCGAAAUUCCUUGUCGGGUAAGUUCCGACCUGCACGAAUGGCGUAAUGAUGGCCAGGCUGUCUCCACCCGAGACUCAGUGAAAUUGAACUCGCUGUGAAGAUGCAGUGUACCCGCGGCAAGACGGAAAGACCCCGUGAACCUUUACUAUAGCUUGACACUGAACAUUGAGCCUUGAUGUGUAGGAUAGGUGGGAGGCUUUGAAGUGUGGACGCCAGUCUGCAUGGAGCCGACCUUGAAAUACCACCCUU